rnacentral:rRNA from 1 species
GACGAACGCUGGCGGCGUGCUUAACACAUGCAAGUCGAGCGGAGCGGCGAACGGGUGAGUAACGCGUGAGUAACUGCCCCCCUCUCUGGGAUAACAGUUGGAAACGGCUGCUAAUACCGGAUAGUGGGAGAUGACUCGCGGCCUAUCAGCUUGUUGGUGGAGUAGUGGCCUACCAAGGCGACGACGGGUAGCCGGCCUGAGAGGUCGAACGGCCACAAUGUGCUGAGGGACGGCCCAAACUCCUACGGGAGGCAGCAGUGGGGAAUAUUGCACAAUCGUGGAAACCCUGAGGCAGCGACGCCGCGUGCGGGAUGACGGCCUUCGGGUUGUCAACCGCUUUAAGCCAUGACGCGGUAGUGGCAGAAGAAGCACCGGCUAACUACGUGCCAGCAGCCGCGGUAAUAC